AAGUCCAUGUCCUCAUUCGGAGAUCUCGCCGGCUCCUCCGUCAGAAAGUGGUGGGACUGGGGCUGGGCUUGGAUCCUUUCUCGCAAACCUAUCUUCGCUAAAGAUCUGGAGAUGAACGAAGAGGAAUCCAAAAUCCUUGGAUCUCAAAACAGAGGUAGUUGGAAACACGUCUUCUUCAAGUUCAGAUCCGAAAUCAGAAAGCUCAUUGGCUCUGAUGUUGCCCUCCCCCAAACUACCCCCAACUAUCGAUCCUUCAAUUUCCCCAACAACAAUAGCGGAAUCAGAACCUAAUUAAUCGAUCUCUCAUCCUUCUUU
rnacentral:lncRNA from 1 species